AACGAUGAACACUAGGUGUCGGGGGAAUCGACCCCCUCGGUGUCGUAGCCAACGCGUUAAGUGUUCCGCCUGGGGAGUACGCACGCAAGUGUGAAACUCAAAGGAAUUGACGGGGGCCCGCACAAGCGGUGGAGUAUGUGGUUUAAUUCGAUGCAACGCGAAGAACCUUACCAGGGUUUGACAUCCUGCGAACCUCUAAGAAAUUGGAGGGUGCCUUCGGGAACGCAGUGACAGGUGGUGCAUGGCUGUCGUCAGCUCGUGUCGUGAGAUGUUGGGUUAAGUCCCGCAACGAGCGCAACCCACGUCUUUAGUUGCCAGCAUUUAGUUGGGCACUCUAGAGAGACCGCCGGUGAUAAACCGGAGGAAGGUGUGGAUGACGUCAAGUCAUCAUGCCCCUUACAUCCUGGGCUACACACGUACUACAAUGCUACGGACAAAGGGCAGCAAACUCGCGAGGGCUAGCAAAUCCCAUAAACCGUGGCUCAGUUCAGAUCGUAGGCUGCAACUCGCCUACGUGAAGGAGGAAUCGCUAGUAAUCGCAGGUCAGCAUACUGCGGUGAAUACGUUCCCGGGCCUUGUACACACCGCCCGUCACACCAUGGAAGUUGGCCACGCCCGAAGUCGUUACUCCAACCCUUGUGGAGGAGGACGCCGAAGGUGGGGCUGAUGACUGGGGUGAAGUCGUAACAAGGUAGCCGUACCGGAAGGUGCGGCUG
rnacentral:rRNA from 1 species